rnacentral:rRNA from 1 species
UACGGAGGGUGCAAGCGUUGUCCGGAUUUAUUGGGGUUAAAGGGUGCGUAGGCGGCCUUGUAAGUCAGUGGUGAAAGCCUCCAGCUCAACUGGAGAACUGCCAUUGAUACUGCAAGGCUUGAGUACAGACGAGGUUGGCGGAAUUGAUUGUGUAGCGGUGAAAUGCAUAGAUACAAUCAAGAACUCCGCUUGCGUAGGCAGCUACCUAGGCUGUAACUGACGCUGAGGCACGAAAGCGUGGGGAGCGAAC